GACGAACGCUGGCGGCGUGCUUAACACAUGCAAGUCGAACGGAAAGGCCCUGCUUUUGUGGGGUUCUCGUGUGGCGAACGGGUGUGUAACCCGUGAGUAACCUGCCCUUGACUUUGGGAUAACUUCAGGAAACUGGGGCUAAUACCCGAUAGGAGCUCCUGCUGCAUGGUGUGGGUUGGAAAGUUUCGGCGGUUGGGGAUGGACUCGCGGCUUAUCAGCUUGUUGGUGGGGUAGUGGCUUACCAAGGCUUUGACGGGUAGCCGGCAUGAGAGGGUGACCGGCGACAGUGGGACUGAGAUACGGCACAGAAGCCUACGGGAGGCAGCAGUGGGGAAGAUUGCAGAAUGGGCGGAAGCCUGAUGCAGCAACGCCGCGUGCGGGAUGACGGCAUUCGGGUUGUAAACCGCUUGCGCCUGUGACGAAGCGUGAGUGACGGUAAUGGGUAAAGAAGCACCGGCUAACUACGUG
rnacentral:rRNA from 1 species